rnacentral:tmRNA from 1 species
GGGGCUGAUCGGUUUCGACUUGGGACGUUUGUCCCAGGGGAAGCGGGUCGAGAAGCCAGCGUCAUCUCGUAAACGAUCGCUGGAAACCAAUAACUGCCAACGCUAAGCGCAGUUCCUUCGCUCUCGCCGCCUGAGCGGUGAUCGAAGCGUCUGACCGGGCAUCCGUCUCCGUCCCGGACCCAGGCGUCAUCCAGGAGACUUGCUGAUCAUCUGCCGUCAGGGUGGUUGAUCGGGACUCAAACCUGACUGAGUCCGUCGGUGACGUGUUCGUGCGAGCACCGGGACUGAGAAAACGACAUCACGAACUGCACCCGGAGAAGACCUGGCUCGACGCUCGAGGACCGGGGUUCGAUUCCCCGCAGCUCCACGU